CGCAUCCCCGGGCCCAUGCACUCCACAGCAGAAGCGAAUUCUGGGUAAUCAGGGGAUUUGUUAAAUAUCCGAAUGUGUUUUCGUACGCAUCCGCGGGCCCACUUCACAGCAGAAGCGAAUUCUGGGUAAUCUGGGGAUUUGUUAAAUAUCCGAAUGUGUUUUCGCACGCAUCCGCGGGCCCACUCCACAGCAGAAGCGAAUUGUGGGUAAUCUGGGGAUAUCUUAAAUAUCCGAAUGUGUUUUCGUACGCAUCCGCAAAUUGUUGAAAUUACAAUAUCGCCACAAGAGGGCGCACCCCGUAAAUUGCCAUAUACGUACAUUGUAACGUUGCCUUUGCGCGUCGCAUAAGCAAAUGUCUGCUCGGAUUCGUGACUGUACUGAUUUUUGCUGACUGGAAACUUUGCGUAUCAGACAAGAAGUUGCAUGGUUCACAUACAACCUUCGCCGGUGUCAAAACCGAGCAUCUCUCAAAGAUCCACUUCGGUAUUUUCGACGGAUCCGCAGAGCACUUCCGGCAGCAGCAGUGCCUUGUGGGUAAUCUGAGAAAACCCCGGGGGAGAUUCAAACUCAACGGUCACUUUCAGUGACCGCUUGCUUGAGUGUGCGUCCCUUUCUAUCGUCCCGCUGUCCAUAUAUAUACGCUUCAUAUAAGUUCAGCAACCACGGCAUUGAUUGUCAAAGUCUAGGAUACUGACCGUACACCGACUGGACGCUAUGAGCUAAAUAGUGGUCUAGACAAGGACGAGAGACGUACCGGGGACAUCGCCCGGCGAGGGCACGAAGCCGCCAGGCAUGUCAUGACAAGUUGCAGACUCGUCUGACGAACUGGACCAUAAACCGACUGCAUAAGACUGUUGACGGCAUAUAGAAGUCAGAAGCGACUGAUUGAACGUGGUAAGACUGUCUUCAGCGCAGACUUCUACAAAGACCAUCCUGAUGUGGGACUAGGAGACAGAUGAUGGCUGUAACAACACAUGGGCUGUGAGACGAUCAUCCUGGCGAAGCAAGACGUGAUAGUUCUAGUUUUACCUGUUUAGUAUUGCAAAUAUUUAUUUUACAUACGUAACAUGUAUUCGUAUAGUUAGUUCUCUCUUUUUUUGUCGCUUUACGCAGUAUGAGUUUUAAUAAAGGCUUUCAGGCUAAAUCUA